GGGAAAGAAUGUAAAAGCCUGACACUAAAAUCGGCUCCCCAGCAGCCUCGCAAGUGAGAGCCAGCAGAGCCUCCUCCACACCGCAGGGUUUGCAUGCAGCCGUGUGAGGUGUCUGAGAGCUGCCUGAUGAAUCAGAUGGAGAAGGGAGCGAGGUAGAAAAGGGAGGGGAAGACCAUGCAAAGAGAAGAACCUUUGGAAAACUCAGAAACAAAACUUAAUCUACACACUUGGAAAGAGCUUUACUAUCAUUUACCAGCCAUGGAGAAAAUAUGCCUAUAUUAAAAGAAAUUCCGUGAAAUUUCAAGCAACCUGGUUCCCACUGUCACAGAAGCAUUCCUAAGCCAGAAGCCCUGGUUCAGGUGAGUCAUGCUUAAUAGGAGAAAUAUUUUUAUUACCCUUGCA